GUGAAUCAUCGAAUUUUUGAACGCAAAUUGCACUCUCUGGUAUUCCUGAGAGUAUGUCUGUUUGAGGGUCAGUUUAAAUAAAAAUCUGUGUGUUUGCUGGUUUUCGUGGUGAGGCACCGGGUCAGGGUCGUCUUGUCGUCGUUUGAGGGACCUAAAAUUUUUCAUGAUUUUUUUCGAACGUAUUUAAAUUUUUUUACUUACGCUUUCAAUAUCUAGAUCUUUGUUUGGUGUUGCU
rnacentral:misc_RNA from 1 species